ensembl:lncRNA
CAGCCUUGUCUUUGCGCAUCUGAGCCGCCCUCCUCUUGGGCUUGGUCCCGGCAGAGUGGCUGGGGGACACUUGUGCUGCUGGGCCUGGGGGCCUGCUGGGGGAGGCACCAAGUGGACAUCAGCGUGGGGGGGUGUUCUCCACCUCGUCACCUCCCCACGGCCCAGGUCAGAGGCUCCCCAGUCACCCCCUCCCCUCCGUCCGCGCAGGGAUGCAGAGAUCCAGAAGGCUUUCUCUGUAAUGUUUUAUUUCUGAAAAGAGGGGGACAGACUGCAAUUUAUCUUUGGGAAAUCCCUUUGUUCUGAGCAACCAUUAUGGCAGUGACCUUUGGUUAUGCAGAGGUAACAAAAGAAGUAAUAAGGACUCAAAUGUUAUUCCUGUGGAUGGAACUGAUGAGACACCCAAGAGAAAAUGCUGCAGAGUGAGAUGUUAAAUGGCCUGUUUAAUAAGGGGCCUACACACGUGGCGCGUACAUCGGCUGUGACUGCAGGGGCCUCAACUGCUUCAGCACUUGUCUCCUUGGGGACAGAGCACACAUUCAAGGGCGAUGGAGCCUCAUUAAACCUGACCCUCAGGGCUUCUCCUCCAACAACAAGGGCACAGACCCCCUCCCCCAACAGGGCUGUGACAGCCACAGAGCA